GAGGGUAUAGCUCAGUGAUAGAGUGUGUGCUUAGCACACAUGAGGUCCUGGGUUCAAUCCCCAGUACCUCCA
rnacentral:tRNA from 1 species